UUUAAAUCCAAAUCUGUCCAUAUCCAACAAAAACAAAUUUAAAAAAUAAAAUGAAAUAAAAUUAGCAAAACAGAGAGAUUUGCAUAAUUGCAGUCCAAAGCUCGAUAUGAACAAAAAUUAACAGUCCCUGAAGCUCAACUAACACUUCACAAGCAAAUUUUUAUGUGAAUUUGAUAUUUGCUUGAAACAAAAUCAACCACUUCUCUAGCUUUCAAAGAGCAAAAACUCCCACAAAAUCAACCGCACAUGAAGCGUGCGAACGAGGACUGAACAUGAAUUUGCAUCAUCAAUAGACUUAAAAGCAAGAACCCCAAGAAAGCUAAAAGCCUAGAAAUGACAAUCCAAUGGAAGAAACUCUAUAAACAGAACAAGCGUAACCCCACAAAGCCAUAAGCUACGAAACCACAAUCCAAUGGAAGAAAAGUUAAGAACACCGAGAAAUACAAUUAAAAGCUAAAAAUUAAUAACAAAAAGAAACCCAUAAAAGCUAUGAGGUUUAGAAAAUUACAAACCCAUCACGUAGAAGCCUGGAAAUUGCAUUAAUUCACCAACAGAAAUAAUUCAAUGAGAAUGAAGAAUGGAUUGAAAUUCGGGUACAGGGUAAGAGCGGGAAGGAUUGAGGGAAUCGAAAUGAAGAAUGGAUUGGAAUGGGAGAAGCCACAGAAAAUGAGUAGAAAUGAAAGUGGAAAUAGAAAACAUACCUUUCUAAAGAAAGUCUACAAAGAAAAUUUUGAAGCUGAGACGAUGAGAGUGUAGAGAAGGGAAUGGAAAAUGUCUUACGGAAGGAAAAUCGGUAAGACGUUUUUCAAAACUAAGGAAGUGAUUUUACCCGUGUUUGUAAAAGGUUUUCCUUGUGUAAUUCAUUUUCCUCCAAUCAAACACUGAAAAAUGGGGAAAACUAAUUCCGGAAAAUAUUUUCCCCCUAUCAAACAGACCCUAAGAUUUGAAAUGAAGGAGCCUAAACAAACAUUUAUCAAGGUUUAAACAUUUCUUUUAAUUUUAAUUUUUUUUAAAGCUUUUGAAUUUCUUUUUGAUAGUGACAUGGAGCUUCAUGCCAGCACCAUUA
rnacentral:lncRNA from 1 species